GACGAACGCUGGCGGCGUGCUUAACACAUGCAAGACGAACGGAAAGGCCCUGCUUUUGUGGGGUGCUCGAGUGGCGAACGGGUGAGUAACACGUGAGUAACCUGCCCUUGACUUUGGGAUAACUUCAGGAAACUGGGGCUAAUACCGGAUAGGAGCUCCUGCUGCAUGGUGGGGGUUGGAAAGUUUCGGCGGUUGGGGAUGGACUCGCGGCUUAUCAGCGUGUUGGUGGGGUAGUGGCUUACCAAGGCUUUGACGGGUAGCCGGCCUGAGAGGGUGACCGGCCACAUUGGGACUGAGAUACGGCCCAGACUCCUACGGGAGGCAGCAGUGGGGAAUAUUGCACAAUGGGCGGAAGCCUGAUGCAGCAACGCCGCGUGCGGGAUGACGGCCUUCGGGUUGUAAACCGCUUUCGCCUGUGACGAAGCGUGAGUGACGGUAAUGGGUAAAGAAGCACCGGCUAACUACGUG
rnacentral:rRNA from 1 species